rfam:Bombyx mori DNA, contig: Bm_scaf99_contig35856, strain: p50T/Dazao, build 2, whole genome shotgun sequence.
UUAACUCAAAUUUUUAUAUAGUUGGAACGGUUACCUACGUUUGCCACUAGGGGCGCUGUUCCAACUGCACACAGAUUUCAAUUA